rnacentral:rRNA from 1 species
UCGGGAAUUUUGGGCAAUGGGCGAAAGCCUGACCCAGCAACGCCGCGUGAAGGAUGAAGUAUUUCGGUAUGUAAACUUCGUAAAAAUAGGAAGAAUAAAUGACGGUACUAUUUGUAAGGUCCGGCUAACUACGUGCCAGCAGCCGCGGUAAUACGUAGGGACCAAGCGUUGUUCGGAUUUACUGGGCGUAAAGGGCGCGUAGGCGGCGUGACAAGUCACUUGUGAAAUCUCCGGGCUUAACUCGGAACGGUCAAGUGAUACUGUCGUGCUAGAGUGCAGAAGGGGCAAUCGGAAUUCUUGGUGUAGCGGUGAAAUGCGUAGAUAUCAAGAGGAACACCUGAGGUGAAGACGGGUUGCUGGGCUGACACUGACGCUGAGGCGCGAAAGCUAGGGGAGCAAACGGGAUUAGAUACCCAAGUAGUCCCUGAGCGGGCUGGCAAGGCGCAU